GAGGGUAUAGCUCAGUGGCAAAGUGCGUGCUUAGCAUGCAUGAGGUCCUGGGUUCAAUUCUCAGUACCUCCA
rnacentral:tRNA from 1 species